UGGGGAAUUUUGGACAAUGGGGGCAACCCUGAUCCAGCCAUGCCGCGUGAGUGAAGAAGGCCUUCGGGUUGUAAAGCUCUUUCGGACAGAAAGAAAACGCACGGUUUAAUACAUCGUGUGGAUGACGGUACUGUCAUAAGAAGCACCGGCUAACUACGUGCCAGCAGCCGCGGUAAUACGUAGGGUGCGAGCGUUAAUCGGAAUUACUGGGCGUAAAGCGUGCGCAGGCGGUUUUGAAAGACAGGCGUGAAAUCCCCGGGCUCAACCUGGGAACUGCGCUUGUGACUACAAGACUAGAGUACGGCAGAGGGGGGUAGAAUUCCACGUGUAGCAGUGAAAUGCGUAGAGAUGUGGAGGAAUACCGAUGGCGAAGGCAGCCCCCUGGGCCAGUACUGACGCUCAUGCACGAAAGCGUGGGGAGCAAACA
rnacentral:rRNA from 1 species